rnacentral:snoRNA from 2 species
AGUGAUGAUGAACCCCAGUGACUCUGAGUGUCUCACGCCAUCACUGCAGCAAGCUGACU